UCAUAUUUGUAACUUUUAUUUUAUUUUUUUCUGGCAUGUAAAGUACAAAUAAUUAAACAAUUCCAUGAAAAAGUCUUCAAGCGUCUUCAGCUGAAAUCCCAGUAAUAAAUAUCCUAGUCUAAACUGAAAGGUUUAUUUUUUUUUCUGUUAAAUUUUGACAUUGUUCAUUUGGUCAUGUUUGGAAGUAUGAGAUUUUGUAUUUUUUCCACUGACAUUGGUGUCAACAGAACAGUUUUUGAUCAUUUUCACCUUUGAUUUGUUCUACCAUUGCAGGAAAAUGUAAGAAAAACAUCACUAAGUUACUGCGUCCCCUCUUCUAAAUAAAUAGACACAAAAUACAGUUGGUUGAGAAACAGAAGGACCACUCACCCCUUUACUACCCUAAUAACUCCCAAGAAAACCUUCCUGCAGCUUUUCUGAGCUCUGUAACAUUUAGUUUGAGCUCUUGGCUGGGUUUUAUAUGCAAAAGAAACGCCUUUGUUUCAUUAGCACAAAUUGAUAGUGAAAUUGAUACAGGUGAUCUCAGUAUUACAAUGCUUUUGCAGAAACGGAACCCUUAAUAUCCUUUUUUUUUUUUUUGUAAAUCAAACCCAUCAGCAUAAACAGGAAAGAUUCUUGUGAGCGUAUUAAACCGAGGACAUCCCCUCUGUUCCUGGCUAGUUGUUGGACCCUCGCUUGGGCCAAAGCCUUGCUACAGGGGCUGCUCCAUUUCUUAGGGGUUCACCGAGUGGUUGAAAAAACAAGACUGUGAUUAGAUUAAAUAAUUAAAAGAUUUUCAUUUAACAAGACAAACAGAACACAGGCAGUAAAGGCAUAACAUCUAGCACACAGCAUGUAUGUUUAUACACUUCAAUUAGUUAAAUAUAGCAGUGCAUUCUUUGACUAUGGAGAACGUUUCCAAAUCGUACUUCUAAAGCUGUUUUUCUAUUUGUCCCCCUUUUAAGAAACGAAAUGGUGUAACCACAAUUUUGGCAAACUUAAAAUCUUUUAAACUUGCAAAUAUAAUGAAAUAAACCAUAAAUAUACACAAAACAUACUUUAUACGAGGCAAUAAUAAUAAUCAUAAUAAAUAGUUUUUAAGUUAACAAUAAGUUAAAACUACAAGCUUAAAGUCGCCCAAAUAAUACAAGUUUGUUGGCGCUAUUUUGAAUUUUUUCUGUUUAAAUUAUUUUAUGUUGCAACAAAAGCUACCACAGACUUUACAAACACAAUUGAACACAGUUUGAUUGAAAUAAAAAAAUCUAACUAAGUCUAAAAUCUGCAUACACUGUAAAAACUGCAACUAAUUAAAUAAUGGAAGAAAAAGAACAAACUGUACCCAAUCAAUGCAACCAAACAUAAUCUUUGACCCAUGUGUGUUCUCUAUGGCAACAUCAACAACACAAAUACGCUAAUUUAACAAGUGAGUCUUGAUAUGUAAAUGAAAUCAAUAAAUUACAGGAAAAAAAAUGAUAUUUGAAAUUGACAUGGGCUAAAACUGAUGAUAUAUUAGACAGUAUUCCUUUCAAGGUCGUUGAGGUUUCCUCUGUUAAGUCAGCCAAAUAUGCAGUUUGUUUUUGAGCUUGCAUGGUCAGAGCACAAAUUAGGGGCUGAGGGAGUGAUUAUGGAAAUUUUAAGAUCAGAGCUCUCAUUGCUUGUUUGAUUUAUUAAUGACUCUGUUCGUUUGAAUGUUUUUGCUCCUUUCACGAUUCCGCAAAACCUUUUCAGUGUGACAUUUAGUUUCUUUUUUAAAAAAUAUAUAUCAUUUGUUCUCAGUCAAUAUAAAAACAAAGCACAUUGCACUUACUGUUCCAUAGGAAAGUUUUUUUUGUGUUUUUAAAUGAUUAUUGUUGUUGCUCAAGCAGUGUAGUACUGUUUCCUGCCAUGGUCCUUGGCUCUCUGCUGUACAUCGGAUGUAGGUCUUUGUAUAGACUGUGUAUGAAAGGUCAUUUUGGGCUGUGGGUUUGGUUUGUGGGUUGACUGUACUACAUCGGACAUGGCUGGCUAAACAGCUCCAGCUGCAGUUCACCGCGGCCUGUUAUCUUGGUUGUUCCGAACGUCGAUCACUGGUCUUACCACGUGCUCAGUCCUACUGUGCUAUCUCUUGCAAUUUGCUUGACCCAAAAUAGCUAGAUUAAUCCUUCGUGUGGUCAGCUCGGGACACACCAGCAACAAGCAUUCAGAGUAUUUCAGGGGAUGAAACAGUAUGAGUCAAAUUGGAACGUGUCAGUCUGUUUGAAGGGGUGCAAUGUUAACAUUUUUAAAGGAUAAAGACAAAGCGGAUGAUUUAAAUGUCAGGGGAAAUACGUUACGUUGAUGCAUUUUUCCUUGUAGAGAGAUGAACUGAUUCAGCGUUAUUUUCGAUUUGCCUUCUGUCAUUCGGUGUCUGCAUGAAAUGUGUGCAAAUGGGAUUGCUUGCAUCUGCUUCAUUUUAGCAUUUGGUUUAGUGGUUGUAAGAUUUACAAAUGUAAACUGAUAUGCGCAACUUAUAUGUUCAAAAGUAAUGAUAACUGAAAUUGUAGAGGGUCCUUAUUCAAUAAAUAACAUAGAUUUGUACAGCAAUUACUCAGGGAAUAAUAUAGUCUUAAUUUAUCCUUCUUGGUACUGACUUGCAAAGCAAUUCUUUGGCAAAAAUCAAAUCUAUCUAAUCGUAAAGACUCAUGCUCAAUGUUCAUUAUGAAUCUGCGUCACUGUUUGAAUCUGCGUUUUACCUUUUUGUUUGCAAGCAGCUAUUCGGUUUUUCAGCUGGGCAAUGAGCCGCUCUCACUGCAGCUUUUGUCUGGGAUUCUCAAGUCAAAGAACUUCACUUCACUGCACCAUCAUUGAAGCAACACUGUACACAACUUCAGGACAAGAGAUGUGAGUGUGUCUAAGCACUCAAAAGUAUAGAUGUGUCUGUCAGGUUAUAUCCCCAACUGUUUAAUUGUAGCAUUUUUUUCGUUUUACAUCAAAUUUGUUUUUUUGUCUUUUUUGUUAAGUUUGUUUCAAUCAUUUUGAUAUGGUUAGACAGCUAAGUUUGUAUGAGAUACAUU
ensembl:lncRNA